AUGUCCAACCUCCGCCUCCUCCGCCGCAGCUCCUCCUCCAUGUCCACCACCACGUCGCCGCCCUCGCGCUCCUGGUCCCCCCAUUCGGCCUUUGCCGCGGCCACAGAGCGCGUGCGCGCCGGGACGCUCAGCCAAGACGAUGCACACCACCUGUUCGACGAAUUGCUGCGGCAGGCCACCCCGGUCCACGAGCGCUCCCUCAACGGCUUCCUCGCCGCCCUCGCGCGUGCUACGUCCUCUGCCGCUUGCAUCAGAGAUGGUCCCGCCCUCGCCAUCGCCCUCUUCAAUCGCGUGUGCCGAGAACAAGCCGGCCCGCGGGUGGCGCCUCUCACAGUCCACACCUACGGCAUCCUCAUGGAAUGUUGUUGUCGGGCGGGUCACCCGGAAUUAGGGCUUGCCAUAUUCAGCCGUCUUCUCAGGACGGGGCUCAAGACAAACGAGAUAGUCGGCAGCACCUUCCUCAAGUGCCUCUCCUACACAAAACGGACGGAUGAGGCUCUGAACGUGUUGCUUCAUAGGAUGCCCGAGCUCGGCUGUGUGCCUAAUGCCUUCUCAUACUCCAUUGUUCUGAAGAGCUUAUGCGACAAUAGCAUGAGUCAGCGGGCGCUUGACCUGCUCCAGAGGAUGGCGAAAGAAGGAGGUGGCUGCUUCCUUAAUGUGGUGACAUAUAGCACGGUCAUCCAUGGCUUCUUUAAGGAAGGUGAAAUAGGCAAGGCAUGCAGUCUGUUCCAUGAAAUGAUGCAGCAAGGGAUUGAGCCCGAUGUGUGGACGUAUAACUCGAUUAUUGAUGCAUUGUGCAAGGCCAGAGCAAUGGACAAGGCAGAGCUAGUCCUUCGUCAGAUGGUUGCUAAAGGUGCUCAACCCGAUACAGUGACAUAUAAUUGCAUGAUCAAUGGAUAUGCCACAUCUGGGCGGUUGAAAGAGGCUGCUAAAAUGUUCAGAGAAAUGAAAAGCCGGGGUGUUACACCAAAUAUUGUUACCUGCGGCUCGUUAAUGACUUCCCUUUGCAAGCAUGGAAGAAGCAAAGAAGCUAGACAAAUAUUUGAUUCCAUGACUGCCAAAGGCCACAGAGCUAAUGUCGUCUCAUACUCUAUUUUGCUUCAUGGCUGUGCUGAUAUUACUGAAAUGCGGGAAAAAGGAGUGAGUCCUGAUGUAGUCACCUAUACCACUGUAAUAGCCGCACUUUCCAGAAUGGGUAGGUUGACCGAUGCUGUGGACAAAUUUGAUGAGAUGAUUGCAAUGGGAGUACAGCCAAGCAUACCUGUUUAUCAGUCCCUGAUUCAGGGUUUUUGCAUCGAUGGUGAUUUGGUUAAAGCCAAGGAGCUGGUUUCUGAAAUGAUGAACAAAGGUAUUCCUUGUCCUAACAUUGUGUUCUUCAAUUCAGUAAUAAACAGUCUGUGCAAAGAAGGAAGGGUUAUGGAUGCACAUGAUAUCUUUGACUUGGUUAUAGACAUAGGUGAGAGGCCUGAUACCAUUACAUUUAGUUCACUGAUUGACGGAUAUUGCUUAGUCGGCAAGAUGGAUAAAGCAUUCGGAAUGCUUAAUGCCAUGGAAUCAGUUGGUGUUGAGCCUGAUAUUGUUACUUACAGUACACUGCUUGAUGGCUAUUUUAAAAAUGGAAGGAUAGACGAUGGUUUGACUCUGUUCAGAGAAAUGCCGCGAAAGAGAAUUAAACCUGACACUGUUACAUAUGGCAUCAUACUGGAUGGGUUGUUUCGUUCUGGGAGAACUGUUGCUGCAUGGAAAAUGUUCCAUGAGAUGAUCGAAAGUGGAACAACAGUGACCUUUUCCAUAUACGCUAUAAUACUUGGAGGUUUUUGUAGAAAUAAUUGCGCAGACGAAGCUAUCACCCUGUUCCACAAAUUAGGUGCAAUGAAUGUGAAGUUCAAUAUUGCAAUAGUCAAUACCAUGAUCAAUGCAAUGUACAAGGUUGGGAGAAGAGAAGAAGCUAAGGAACUAUUUGCUGGAAUAUUAGCCCGUGGGUUGGUGCCUAAUGAAUCUACUUACGGAGUAAUGAUAAAAAAUCUUCUAAAAGAUGGAGUAGUGGAAGAUGCUAACAAUGUGUUUUCAUCAAUGGACAAGAGUGGUAUAGUCCCCAGCUCCCGUCUCAUCAAUGACAUCAUCAGAUUGUUGUUGGAAAAAGGUGAGAUCGCCAAGGCCGGAUAUUAUUUGUCUAAAGUUGAUGGGAAGAGCAUAUCACUUGAAGCUUCAACUACUUCAUUGAUGUUUUCUCUCUUCUCAAUGAAAGGCAAAUAUAAGGAGCACAUGAAAUUGCUCCCUGCCAAGUAUCAAUUUUUCGAUGAGUUGGUUGACUAG
rnacentral:rRNA from 1 species